AGCAGCCGCGGUAAUUCCAGCUCCAAUAGCGUAUAUUAAAGUUGUUGCAGUUAAAAAGCUCGUAGUUGAAUUUCGGGGUCAGCAGGUCGGUCGUGCCUACGGUAUGCACUGGCCUUGCUGAUUCCUCCCUCUUGAUGAGCCGUAAUGCCAUUAAUUUGGUGUUGCGGGGAAUCAGGACUGUUACUUUGAAAAAAUUAGAGUGUUUAAAGCAGGCUAACGCUUGAAUACAUUGGCAUGGAAUAACGGAAUAGGACGUUCGAUCUUAUUUUGUUGGUUUCUAAGAUUGACGUAAUGAUUAAUAGGGAUAGUUGGGGGCAUUAGUAUUCAAUUGUCAGAGGUGAAAUUCUUGGAUUUAUUGAAGACUAACUACUGCGAAAGCAUUUGCCAAGGAUGUUUUCAUUAAUCAAGAACGAAAGUUAGGGGAUCGAAGACGAUCAGAUACCGUCGUAGUCUUAACCAUAAACUAUGCCGACUAGGGAUCGGAUGAUGUUAAUUUUUAAUGACUCAUUCGGCGCCUUAC
rnacentral:rRNA from 1 species